UGUGAUUGUAAAGAAUUAACUUUCCAUAAAUCUGAUGAUGACAGAGUGUUAAUGUGAAGAUACAGAGGAGCUGGACUGAGUGUCUCUACAGAUCUGAGGAGGAUGAUGAUGGUGGUUAUGGUCAUGGUGAUGAUGCUGAUAGUGAUGCCAAUGAUAGUGAUGAUGGUGAUAGAGAUGAAGAUGAUGGUGAUGAUAGUGAUGACAAUGAUGAUGGUGAUGGUGAUAGUGAUGAUGGUGGUGAUUGAUGAUGCUCAUGAUAGUGAUGAUAGUGGUGAUGGUGAUGGUGACAGUGUGUCAGCAAGUCGGAUGUGUUUGUGAUGCUUGUUUUGUGUUUGUCUUUCUCUGUACAGAGGCAGACGGUGUGUCUUUCAGCCCCAGUUCUUCUGCGACCAGCCAUCCAGACGUGCUGCUGUGCUUCGUGGUGUCUUGGCCAGCUUUGUGCUGUUGUGUGCUGCGUAGUUGUGUACCUUCAAGUGUGUGUGUUGCACAGUGUAGCUCUCUUGUGCGGCGGUGCUUUGCUGUGUGGUGCUGCCCCUGUUGUGUUGUGUCUGGUUGUGUAGCUCCUGUGCUGUGUUGUGUAGAGAUGGACAAGUCUGCGGGGCUCCUGAGCUCCCUAUCCUGCCUGACCCAGACCUCCUCCCCGAAACAGCACAAACAGCCUCCUGCACCCCAUACCCGGGGUUUUGGGGUCCCAGUGACAGUAGAGAGCUCAGUCCCCUUCUUGAGUGGGGGGUCAUACUCCCUGGGACCCCUAUACCCCCAUCCUGGCCCCCAAGACUACCUGUCCUUCCCUCCGGCUCACCCCCCUGGCCACUCUGGUUUCCGACACCCCACGCUGGGGGGGUUCCCAGCCCUGCCCCCGUUCUCCCACUCCCCGGCCCCCCACCCCUCGCUCUCGUUCCCCGAGGGGAUGGAGCGCCUCUCCAGCGCCUACGCCGCCGCCCUGGCCGCCACCAUGAGCACCAACAAGAGGCUGGGGUCCCCCGCACCCCCCUGCACCCCUCCCGAGGAGCGCCCCCCGCCCCAGCGCCGCGCCCGAGAGAGAGACCGGCGGCAGAGGGACGACAGCGGGAUGGAGGGCCUGCUGGACGCAGCCAAGAGGGGGCGCCGGACAGCCAGCCCCGACAGCGCCGGACCUGCUGGCCCGCGGAGAGAGAGGUUCAGUGAAGCCCCCCUCUCUCUGCGAUGCCCACUGUGUCAGACUGACCUCGCCCGAGCCGAGCUCCUGGACCACCUGCGCAGUGAACUGGAACACAUGGACUCACUGCCAGCCAGGUACAGGGGAGAAGGGCAGACGUGAACUUUGUCCUUCACUGCCUUACUGACCUCCCAAACAGUGACAUACCCUGCCACAAUUCUCAUUUUCCCCACUCCUGUCAUUCAUUAAUGUAUUCAUUACAGCACCUAUGCUAUUAUGUCUUAUUUUAACUCCCAGUACAUGCAUCCUGUUAGAAAAGCAAAUUUGAGUUUCAAAUUGAGACGGACAGAGGGACAGAGGAAUAUACUUUUCUGGCCAUAGAAACUGGAAACAGACAGACCUGAAUGUCCAGAGAGUACAUGUUGUCCACCCACUGCCAGUGGGGACAAGUGGAGACAGAGGUGCACUUUCUGCUGCAGUGUGAGAAAUACUCUGUGAUAAGACAAACAUUCUUCUUUAAAUUUUAAAAAUCUAAUCCCUGAAUUCCCAAACAUACUAGAAUCAGCUCCCAGUCCUAGAGAAUGGGCCUUGCAUAAACCUUGUUUGAAAGGUGUACGAUUUAUUAAACAUGUGUGAUCUAUCAGGUUUAUAAUUCAGUGUUGAACUUACUGUACCACUCUGUCACUUCAGCCUCUCUCAGUCAGAGCACCUCCAGGAGCUGCAGGGCUGUGAUCAGGUAAGUGAGGGUAUUUUAGUGCACAGCAGUGCAGUAUGAAAGAGUGCAGUGUGAAACAGAGUAGUACAGUGUGCAACAGUGCAGUGUGAAACAGUGCAGUACAGUGUGCAACAGUACAUCAAAGUGCAGUGCAGUGUGAAACAGUGCAGUACAGUGUGCAACAGUGCAGUGUGAAAGAGUGCAGUGCAGUGUGAAACAGAGCAGUACAUUGUGCAACAGUGCAGUAUGAAAGAGUGCGAUACAGUGUGAAACUGCAGUUUGAAACAAUGCAACGUGAAACAGUGCAAUGCAGUGUGCAACAGUGUGUAAAAGUGCAGUGCAGUGUGAAAGAGUGAUACAGUGUGAAACAGUACAGUAUGAAGCGAUGCAGUGUG
rnacentral:lncRNA from 1 species